rnacentral:tRNA from 1 species
AAAGAAAUAUUUUUAAAAAAAGCUUCUAACUUUUUUACAAGCAUUAUUAUGUUUAU